rfam:Schistosoma rodhaini strain Burundi genome assembly, scaffold: SROB_contig0001237
AUCCAUCUAACGAGUCUCAAAUAGGACGAAAUGUGUAUUCUGGAU